UACGAAAGGUGCGAGCGUUAAUCGGAAUUACUGGGCGUAAAGCGUGCGUAGGCGGCUAUUUAAGUCGGAUGUGAAAGCCCCGGGCUCAACCUGGGAGGUGCAUCCGAUACUGGGUAGCUAGAGUGUAGUAGAGGGAGGUGGAAUUUCCGGUGUAGCGGUGAAAUGCGUAGAUAUCUGGAAGAACACCGAUGGCGAAGGCAACCUCCUGGGCCUGAAUUGACACUGAAGCACGAAAGCGUGGGGAGCAAACAGG
rnacentral:rRNA from 1 species